GGUGACAAUGCACAGAGCUCGGGUGGCCUCUGCAUCCAGUGGGUACUUACCCCUGGUUGUCCGGCUGCCCGAAAGCGAAGCUGGUGAAGGAGGACGGCUCACCCACAUCCCAGCGGAAGGAAGCCUUGGACGUCUUGUAGUAGGUGUCAGCCUCAGGGGACACCAUGAAGCAGUCACCGUCUAUCCGCACGUCGCAGGUGUGGAAAGGGAACCGAAUCUUUGCUGGGGACACAGAUCGCUGCCAGGACCCCAAAGCAGGCACAGGCAGGUGCAGACUCACUGCCGCACUCGGCGCCGCCGUAGCCCACAUCGCAGAGGCAGGAACACUCCUCCUUCCUGAACUUCCCGUGGAGGCACUGCCCGCUGCA